UUCAUUUUCUGGUCACGUACUUGACUGUCGUCAGGACCAAUAGCGUUCCCGCACUUUAUUUCGUGUAUUUUUACGAUCUUUGGUUUUUAUCAAUCUCGCGGGCGGAGUCAGAUGGACGUCAUGGACGUUUCAGAUUUGCUCCGUUCCGGGUCUUCUCGCCACUGUAAAAAGCAGUGUGUAGUAUUUUGGAUCGACAAAAAGAAGGGGAGCAUCGAGCCCCUCUCUUCUGUUGAGGAAAGCUGCCAACAUGAGGGGAGUAUUGGCAUGGUGAAGUGGAAGGGGAAGAAAAAUACCGAGCGAAGAUUCUCAAAAUAAGCGACUCUGAAGAUGAACUUAAAUAUGUCCUGAUGGGUCUGUGCCAGCAGAUUGACGAAGCAGCACCUGACAAGGAACGGUCGUCUAACACUUCAAAAAGGAAACGCCAAAAAGUGAAUUGAGAUUGACGAAGUAGCACCUGACAAGGAACGGUUGUCUAACACUUCAAAAAGGAAAUGCCAAAAAGUGAAUUGAGAUUGACGAAGCAGCACCUGACAAGGAACGGUCAUCUAACACUUCAAAAAGGAAACGCCAAAAAGUGAAUUGAGAUUGAUGAAGCAGCAUCUGACAAGGAAAGGUCAUCUAAAACUUCAAAACAGAAAAUGCCAAAAAGUGAAAGCAACCCACAGCUUGCUGCAAACCUCAGAAGAGACUAUGCUAUCACAUGAUGGACAUACAUGGAAAACAGCACAAGGAAGGCCUAAUCCAUCGCUGUCUCCACUCCGGCCACCACAGAACUCAGCAGCAACAAUAUGGUCAUCUGAAGGACAUACAUGGGAAGCAGCACAAGCAAAACCCACACCAUCGCUGCCACUGCCACCACAACAGGGUUGUUUCACACAAUGGCUGGGCAGGGAAGACAUUAAUCAAGCUUACUUGGACCUGGAAGAAGAAAACUACCUGCUGAAUUGUGAAGUGCAAGCUCUGAAGAAGGAAAACAAAAGGUCAAUGGCAGUGUCAGAUUCACUGUGGGAGGCUGGGUUUGCCUAGGGGUCAGCAAAGGCCACAACUGGACCAGUUGAAACCCAAGAGGAGUUGAAGGGGGAGAACUGGGAAUGGAGCCACAAAACAGAUAGUCAAGGAGCUCCUAAAGUUGAUAUUGGCUUUGGAGUCUUCAUAACACACCAACAAGUGGAAGCAGUUAAAGCCUCCUUGGAAUCUGGCAAUUUGAAGGUUGUUCUGCGGCAUCUGCUCACCGUCCUUUUCAGCAGAGAUGAGCUCUCUCAAGCCUGCUGCAAAGGACAGAAGGGCAAAGGGAGCAACCAUCAAGCUCUUCCUCAGAGACCUGUUCCAGCGGCACAAAGUGAGUACAUAUAUGAUUUGAUAAAAACAAAGUGAAUAUGUUCCAUUUUGCCUGCCAAGUAUAGAAAUAUAAAGUGUGGGAAUAAAUAUGUGUUCUGCUGGUCUUAAGCAUGCAUUUAAAACUGGUUCCGGAAAAUGGACUUGACUAAUUCCCACACUGCGCAGUAAUAUCUACAUCUAUUCUUCUGAGCCAUUUUCUAAUGUUAGUUUAAGACCCCUGAGCACAUAAUUAUUCCCAUAAAUGCCUUUCUAGUUACAGGGUCAAAAAAAUAAAAAUAUCAGCACAGUUUUCAUGAAGAGACAAGAUUCUUGCAGUCGAGUAACAACUUGUUUUCAAAAAAUAUCAUUUGAAGUUGGUUUCCUUUUCAACGCUUAUUUCUGUAGUACUUAGCAUUCCUUCAACUAAAACAAUGCUACUAUGUGAAAAACGGGAUCCUGGAUUACACAAAUUGCCAAACAGUUUUUCAUAGGAAUCAAUGUUGUUUGUUUAGUAAACAAAUAGAUUUGUCUGUCUGUGAUAAUUUGUGUGCUUUUGUCUCUUCAAGCUGUGUAAGGAGGGGGCAUGUGUUUUUCCCUUUGUGCAUGCCAGGUGCAAAUUAUUACAAAUGUGUACAUUUCCAGAGUCAUUUUGUCUCUUUGUGAAAACCAUCAAAGGGUUUUGCCCCAUGAUUUUGCCUUUUAUUGCAAACAUUUUCUCUGUGGAAGACAGUUUCACCUGUUCCUGAAAGCUGGAAGUACGGUUUAUUCAAAUUUUGCCCAACGGUGAUUAUUGUGAUUUCGCUGAUUUCAGUGACAAAUAACACCAAUCUGUAGUCAUCCAUUAGCCUAAUUGAUUUUGCCCUCAAAAAUAAUUUUUAAAAGUCGUGAUUUUUUACCAAUUUGCCUCUGUGAAAGCUGUGAUGCUAUGAUGAAUUUCAAAAGAUUUUGUCAAAGAAUUUCAUUUUCAUUUUCAUGAUCACCUGUUAUUCAUUUGAUGGUACAUGUAUAUUCUUAUUGCAUGGAAUGACACACAUGAGAUGCACUGCAUGCUGCAGCACAUUCAAAACAAUACAAUUUGAAUUUGGAUAUCUCACCAAGUUAACUUCGGCCAGAGGCAGAACUGUAUUGUCAUUACCCAAGGUGCCUGUAAUCAGUAGGCAGUAACCAAUAAAAUAUUGGAAGUAGGCAGUACAACAUUGACCAUGACAGAAAACGUCUAGCACUCACACACCAAAACCCAAGCCCCGCACCGGACAGGUCAGGUAUCCCAAUUGCGGAUAUGACCCAAGUCAUGCGUCAUGCCCAGCUAGAGGCCAGCAAUGCAAGUCCUGUCACAAAACCGGACAUUUCAGUAAAGUUUGCCGUUCCAAGCGCAAACACAUGUGAGCUGUGCACCCAGUGACA
rnacentral:lncRNA from 1 species